rnacentral:rRNA from 1 species
UACGUAGGGUGCAAGCGUUAAUCGGAAUUACUGGGCGUAAAGCGUGCGCAGGCGGUUUUGUAAGUCUGUCGUGAAAUCCCCGGGCUCAACCUGGGAAUUGCGAUGGAGACUGCAAGGCUAGAAUCUGGCAGAGGGGGGGUAGAAUUCUACGUGUAGCAGUGAAAUGCGUAGAGAUGUGGAGGAACACCGAUGGCGAAGGCAGCCCCCUGGGUCAAGAUUGACGCUCAUGCACGAAAGCGUGGGGAGCAAACGAGG